rnacentral:rRNA from 1 species
UGGGGAAUAUUGCACAAUGGGCGGAAGCCUGAUGCAGCAACGCCGCGUGAGUGAUGAAGGCCUUCGGGUUGUAAAGCUCUGUCUUUUGGGACGAUAAUGACGGUACCAAAGGAGGAAGCCACGGCUAACUACGUGCCAGCAGCCGCGGUAAUACGUAGGUGGCAAGCGUUGUCCGGAUUUACUGGGCGUAAAGGAUGCGUAGGCGGAUUUUUAAGUGAGAUGUGAAAUACCCGGGCUUAACUUGGGUGCUGCAUUUCAAACUGGGAAUCUAGAGUGCGGGAGAGGAGAAUGGAAUUCCUAGUGUAGCGGUGAAAUGCGUAGAGAUUAGGAAGAACACCAGUGGCGAAGGCGAUUCUCUGGACCGUAACUGACGCUGAGGCAUGAAAGCGUGGGUAGCAAACAGGAUUAGAUACCCUGGUAGUCCACGCCGU